rnacentral:rRNA from 1 species
AGUGAACGCUGGCGGUAGGCCUAACACAUGCAAGUCGAACGGCAGCACAGUAAGAGCUUGCUCUUACGGGUGGCGAGUGGCGGACGGGUGAGGAAUACAUCGGAAUCUACUUUUUCGUGGGGGAUAACGUAGGGAAACUUACGCUAAUACCGCAUACGACCUACGGGUGAAAGCAGGGGAUCUUCGGACCUUGCGCGACUGAAUGAGCCGAUGUCGGAUUAGCUAGUUGGCGGGGUAAAGGCCCACCAAGGCGACGAUCCGUAGCUGGUCUGAGAGGAUGAUCAGCCACACUGGAACUGAGACACGGUCCAGACUCCUACGGGAGGCAGCAGUAGGGAAUAUUGGACAAUGGGCGCAAGCCUGAUCCAGCCAUGCCGCGUGGGUGAAGAAGGCCUUCGGGUUGUAAAGCCCUUUUGUUGGGAAAGAAAAGCAGCAGGUUAAUACCCCGCUGUUCUGACGGUACCCAAAGAAUAAGCACCGGCUAACUACGUG